rnacentral:rRNA from 1 species
AACGUAGGUGGCGAGCGUUAUCCGGAUUUACUGGGCGUAAAGCGUGCGCAGGCGGCUUUGCAAGACAGAUGUGAAAUCCCCGGGCUUAACCUGGGAACUGCAUUUGUGACUGCAUGGCUAGAGUGCGGCAGAGGGGGAUGGAAUUCCGCGUGUAGCAGUGAAAUGCGUAGAUAUGCGGAGGAACACCGAUGGCGAAGGCAAUCCCCUGGGCCUGCACUGACGCUCAUGCACGAAAGCGUGGGGAGCAAACAGG